rnacentral:rRNA from 1 species
CAAAUGACUCUCAGCAACGGAUAUCUUG